rnacentral:rRNA from 1 species
AUGUCACAUGGGCUCUUUAUUGUGUUUUUAAGGACACUGAUGGGUUUUGUUUGCAUGCAACACAGUAUGGACCAACAAAAUGGUCUCAUUGCAAGGUCACUACCUGGACAUAUAGGCAAGCAAUGUCAAGAGAGGUGGCAUAAUCAUCUGAAUCCAGAAUACAGAGAGAUGGUUGGACUACUGAGGAACAUGCACGAAUUAAUACCCAUCGGGUAUAUGAGAAUAAAUGGGCAAAAAUAG